GAUGAACGCUGGCGGCGUGCCUAAUACAUGCAAGUAGAACGCUGAAGGAAGGAGCUUGCUCUUUCCGGAUGAGUUGCGAACGGGUGAGUAACGCGUAGGUAACCUGCCUGGUAGCGGGGGAUAACUAUUGGAAACGAUAGCUAAUACCGCAUAACAGUAGAUGUUGCAUGAUAUCUACUUAAAAGGUGCAAUUGCACCACUACCAGAUGGACCUGCGUUGUAUUAGCUAGUUGGUGAGGUAACGGCUCACCAAGGCGACGAUACAUAGCCGACCUGAGAGGGUGAUCGGCCACACUGGGACUGAGACACGGCCCAGACUCCUACGGGAAGCAGCAGUAGGGAAUCUUCGGCAAUGGACGGAAGUCUGACCGAGCAACGCCGCGUGAGUGAAGAAGGUUUUCGGAUCGUAAAGCUCUGUUGUAAGAGAAGAACGAGUGUGAGAGUGGAAAGUUCACACUGUGACGGUAUCUUACCAGAAAGGGACGGCUAACUACGUG
rnacentral:rRNA from 1 species